AUGACAAAUUUGCGAAUAGGUGAUUUAACGGGAGAGGUGUCUUCAUUGGCUUUUGUGGCUAACAUGACAUUGUUGAAAACUCUAGUUCUGAGAAACUCCAGGAUAUCUGACAACCUUGCUUCAGCGGACUUCUCAAAAUUUGUUAACCUCAAUUAUCUGGACUUGAGUUUUAACAGCAUAACUGGCAAAGUUUCUCCAACCCUUCUGAACCUGAAUACCCUGAAUUUCCUAUUUCUUGGGAGCAAUAACCUCUCUGGGAGCUUACCAGACAUGAUUAGCCCUUCACUUACUACUAUUGACUUGUCAUACAAUAUGCUCUCAGGAAGAUACCCUUCUUGGGUUAACAUGAAUAAUUUACAUGUGAAUUUGGUGUGGAACAACUUUGUGAUAGAUAACUCAAACAACAGUACUUUGCCUUCAGGACUAAAUUGUCUUCAGCGAGAUACUCCAUGUUUUAUUGGUUCUCCAUCUCAUUCUUCCUUUGCGGUAGACUCUGGUGGUAAAAGACCCAUCAGAGGCUCAGGCAACACCAUUUACGAACCUGAUGAUGCCAGUCUUCAAGGUGCAUCAUACUACGUUACAAACUCAACGAGAUGGGGUGUUAGCAACAUCGGGAAAUUCGUGGAUUCCCCCAAUGGGAGUUACAUAAUAGACACUUCUCGCCUGUUUACCGACGCACUUGAUUCUGAACUAUUUGAGACAGCCAGAAUGGCACCCUCUUCAUUGAGAUACUACGGCAUCGGGCUAAAGAAUGGCUUGUACCACGUUGUACUUCAAUUUGCGGAGAUCUUUUUCCCAGAUGACCAGACACACUUACCUGUGGAAUAUCUUUUGCUUGCUUCCCUGGUGCAGGGUGAUCUUAAAGAAACAGACUUCGAUAUAAAGAAACAAACAAAUGGAAAAUCUUACACUGUUAUUCAGAGACAGUAUACUGUUGAAGUAAUGAAUAAUUUCAUUGGUAUCCAUCUCUUUUGGGCUGGAAAGGGCACUUGUUGCAUUCCUGAACCUGGGUUCUACGGGCCAUCAAUCUCAGCAUUAAGCGUAUUUUCUUAUGAUAGCAACGGUGAAGAGGAUCCUGGUCCACAGAAAAACAGCACUACCAAUAACACAGGUUUGGUUGUUGGAGUUGUAGUCUGUGUUGCAGUUUUAGGAUUUCUAGCACUCGCUGGGGCCUUUAUUUGGAGACAGAAAAGAAGGAAGUUAGAGGUGGAAAUGGAAGAGCUGUUUGGUAUAGUUGGAAGGCCUAACGUCUUCAGUUACGGUGAAAUAAAAUCUGCUACGGGCAGUUUUAGUCCUAGUAACAUUCUCGGAAGAGGGGGAUAUGGACUUGUUUACAAGGGUAAGCUACUUGAUGGGAGAAUGGUAGCUGAAAGCAGCUGUCUUCUACAUCUAAUCAAGGGAAAAAGGAGUUCAUGA
rnacentral:rRNA from 1 species